GAUGAACGCUGGCGGCGUGCCUAAUACAUGCAAGUCGAGCGAAUGGAUUAAGAGCUUGCUCUUAUGAAGUUAGCGGCGGACGGGUGAGUAACACGUGGGUAACCUGCCCAUAAGACUGGGAUAACUCCGGGAAACCGGGGCUAAUACCGGAUAACAUUUUGAACCGCAUGGUUCGAAAUUGAAAGGCUGCUUCGGCUGUCACUUAUGGACGGACCCGCGUCGCAUUAGCUAGUUGGUGAGGUAACGGCUCACCAAGGCAACGAUGCGUAGCCGACCUGAGAGGGUGAUCGGCCACACUGGGACUGAGACACGGCCCAGACCCCUACGGGAGGCAGCAGUAGGGAAUCUUCCGCAAUGGACGAAAGUCUGACGGAGCAACGCCGCGUGAGUGAUGAAGGCUUUCGGGUCGUAAAACUCUGUUGUUAGGGAAGAACAAGUGCUAGUUGAAUAAGCUGGCACCUUGACGGUACCUAACCAGAAAGCCACGGCUAACUACGUGCCAGCCGCCGCCGUAA
rnacentral:rRNA from 1 species